rnacentral:rRNA from 1 species
UAGGGAAUCUUCGGCAAUGGACGGAAGUCUGACCGAGCAACGCCGCGUGAGUGAAGAAGGUUUUCGGAUCGUAAAGCUCUGUUGUAAGAGAAGAACGAGUGUGAGAGUGGAAAGUUCACACUGUGACGGUAUCUUACCAGAAAGGGACGGCUAACUACGUGCCAGCAGCCGCGGUAAUACGUAGGUCCCGAGCGUUGCCCGGAUUUAUUGGGCGUAAAGCGAGCGCAGGCGGUUAGAUAAGUCUGAAGUUAAAGGCUGUGGCUUAACCAUAGUAGGCUUUGGAAACUGUUUAACUUGAGUGCAAGAGGGGAGAGUGGAAUUCCAUGUGUAGCGGUGAAAUGCGUAGAUAUAUGGAGGAACACCGGUGGCGAAAGCGGCUCUCUGGCUUGUAACUGACGCUGAGGCUCGAAAGCGUGGGGAGCAAACAGGAUUAGAUACCCUGGUAGUCCACGCUGUAAACGAUGAGUGCUAGGUGUUAGACCCUUUCCGGGGUUUAGUGCCGUAGCUAACGCAUUAAGCACUCCGCCUGGGGAGUACGACCGCAAGGUU